rfam:Streptomyces sparsogenes DSM 40356 contig00384, whole genome shotgun sequence.
CUUGAGGGCACCGAGAAGCAACGGCCGCCCCUCACGCCUCUCCUGGCCGUAGGUGGCGAGCAGAGCCUGGGCCUC